GCCAACUUAGCUCACCCGGCAGAGCAGCUCAUUCGUAAUGAGCAGGUAUUGUGUUCGAGUCACAAAGUUGGCU
rnacentral:tRNA from 1 species